rnacentral:rRNA from 1 species
GACAGAGGUCCCGAGCGUUAGGCGGAAUCACUGGGCUUAAAGCGUGUGUAGGCGGACUUCUAAGUACCUUGUGAAAUCCCACGGCUUAACCGUGGAACUGCUUGGUAUACUGGUUGUCUUGGGCCAUCUAGGGGCUACUGGAACAAACGGUGGAGCGGUGAAAUGCGUAGAUAUCGCUUGGAACGCCGAAGGUGAAACAGGCUGCUGGGGUUGCGCCGACGCUGAGACACGAAAGCCAGGGGAGCAAACGGG